AGUGAACGCUGGCGGUAGGCCUAACACAUGCAAGUCGAACGGCAGCACAGUAAGAGCUUGCUCUUACGGGGUGCGAGUGGCGGACGGGUGAGGAAUACAUCGUAAUCUACUUUUUCGUGGGGGAUAACGUAGGUAAACUUACUCUAAUACCGCAUACGACCUACGGGUGAAAGCAGGGGAUCUUCGGACCUUGCGCGAAUGAAUGAGCCGAUGUCGGAUUAGCUAGGUGGCGGGGUAAAGGCCCACCAAGGCGACGAUCCGUAGCUGGUCGGAGAGGCGGAUCAGCCACCCUGGAGCGGGGACACGGUCCAGACUCCUACGGGAGGCAGCAGUGGGGAAUAUUGGACAAUGGGCGGAAGCCUGACCCAGCCAUACCGCGUCGGUGACGAAGGCCUUCGGGUUGUAAAGCCCGUUUGUUGGGAAAGAAAAGCAGCCGGUUAAUACGCAGCUGUUCUGACGGUACCCACAGAAUAAGCACCGGCUAACUUCGUG
rnacentral:rRNA from 1 species